UACGAAGGGUGCGAGCGUUGUUCGGAAUUACUGGGCGUAAAGGGCGCGUAGGCGGGUCAGUAAGUCGAUUGUGAAAGCCCUGGGCUUAACCCGGGAAUGGCAGUCGAAACUACUGAUCUUGAAUGCUUGAGAGGAUGGCGGAAUUCCCGGUGUAGUAGUGAAAUACGUAGAUAUCGGGAAGAACACCUGAGGCGAAGGCGGCUAUCUGGCGAUGCAUUGACGCUGAGGCGCGAAAGCGUGGGGAGCAAACAGG
rnacentral:rRNA from 1 species